UGCCAGACUCCUACGGGAGGCAGCAGUGGGGGAUAUUGCACAAUGGGGGAAACCCUGAUGCAGCGACGCCGCGUGGGUGAAGGAGUAUUUCGGUAUGUAAAGCCCUAUCGGCAGGGAAGAAGCAAGACGGUACCUGACUAAGAAGCCCCGGCUAACUACGUGCCAGCAGCCGCGGUAAUACGUAGGGGGCGAGCGUUAUCCGGAUUCACUGGGUGUAAAGGGAGCGUAGACGGCCAAGCAAGCCAGGGGUGAAAGCCCGGGGCCCAACCCCGGGACUGCCCUUGGAACUGCUUGGCUGGAGUGCGGGAGGGGCAGGCGGAAUUCCUGGUGUAGCGGUGAAAUGCGUAGAUAUCAGGAGGAACACCGGCGGCGAAGGCGGCCUGCUGGACUGCAACUGACGUUGAGGCCCGAAAGCGUGGGGAGCAAACAGGAUUAGAUACCCUAGUACG
rnacentral:rRNA from 1 species